GGAGAAGGGCCAUAGCUUAGUAGUAGAGCAUCUGUUUUGUGUGCAGAAGGUCUCAGGUUCAAUCCCUAGCAUCUUCA